GUCUCCUAGCAACGGCGGGUAGCGUUGUUGACAUCCCGGGAGGCUGUGCCGCCGGCCUGAGCCCAGAGUUUCGCGGCCUCCGCGAUGGCAGAGGUGGAGGAAACCUUAAAGAGGAUCCAGAGUCAUAAAGGGGUUAUUGGAACUAUGGUUGUAAAUGCAGAAGGGAAGAAGACUAACACCAUGUCACAGAGCAAGAACUUCAGAGCAGACUCACUAUAGACAAGAUGUUCAGGGGAGUGCAUUUCAUAUAAAAAUAUGUUAACUUAGUACUCAAGUAGUCAGUUAAUGGCUUCUGAAAGAUUUAUGCACAAAAAUGUUCAUCAUCACCCCAUUAGCUAUAAAAAAUAUAAGGUACCAAAUGACCAAACAAUAGGAGAUUGAUUAUAUGUCCAUAAAAUAGUGAAGUAUGCAGUUAUUAAAAAUAAUGUUGAUGACAUUGUCAACAAGGACAACUUGUAUGUUAUAAUUUUGUGAAGAAAAAAGCAACAGUCAAGUUUGUAAAUAUAGUUUCACACAACUAUACUUAAAAAUCUACGUAGCGACAAAAGGAUUUGAGGGAAAUAAACUAAAAUUGUUACCAGAGAGGGAUAAGCCAUCACUUUUUUCUCUUCUUUACAACUAUCAGUGUUUUCCAAUACUUCCACACUGUACUUAUUACUUUUCUAAUCAGAAAAAAUAUUAACCAAAAUUAAAUUUCAUAAUAGGUAUUCCCAUCCGAACAACCUUGGACAACUCAACAACUGUUCAAUAUGCAGGCCUUCUUCAUCACCUGACAAUGAAAGCCAAAAGCACAGUUCGUGAUAUUGAUCCUCAGAACGACCUGACUUUUCUUAGGAUCAGAUCAAAGAAACAUGAAAUCAUGGUAGCUCCAGAUAAGGAAUAUCUUCUGAUCGUCAUUCAGAAUCCAUGUGAAUAGACCUGCGAUGGCCAAGGCUGUUUAAGCGACACUGGGUUGGAAACACUUGGCUCUCUCAUGAGUAUUAAAAUUCUAUUUCAAUCUAACUGACCCUUCAAACAUUCUUUUCUAUUUCUAUAUCUAAACUGUUCUGCAUGUCUCAUUUAGUCCCUUUUGAUUAUAUUGUGAAGUUGUACUUUAGUGAUACAAUAAGUGAAUUCUGGUAUAUACGUCUCUAUUGUCUUAUAAUACACAAAACCAAGGAUUCUACUAA